AGGCACCCCUGAGCAUGAAAUAUAAAUUUCCCCCUGAGGAUUUAUGCCUUAUGUUUCUAGAGGGACAUAGAGAAGACAGAUAACUUAAAUACUUGGGUUCUGGAUUGGGGUUAUGUCAAACAUGCCACCGAAGAUUCUUGCACACGUUAUGCUGGUGUACAUAUAUGGAAGUGUCUGUGAGUACACACGUCACGGAGGAACUGCUGUGCCAUAGGGGAUACACACCCUCAACCUUGGCAGAUGAUGCUGAGCUGCCUUCCAGAGCAGCAGUGCUGGUUUGCACUCUCAGAAGCUUUGUAGAGAGUUCCAACUGCUCCACUUUCUCACCCACGCUUGGCAAAAAAACUUUUUAUGGUUCACUGAGGACAAUCAACUCCUUCACAAUCUAGAACCCGAAGAUUGGAUCCUCUGAGACAUCAGAGAAAGAUUGCUUUAGCCAUCCUCACUGCAGUAAAACUUCAGGACCUCGAGCCUUGGGUUCAUAAUCUCACAACUGAGAAGGGUCCCUCCACACUGUUGAACUGUACACCCAUUGGAACCCUUAAGGUAAAGCUAACCAGGGAAGUUUCUCCCUAAGAAGAAGAUGGCAUCCUUGAUGCAAAAAGCUUUUCCCAACAUCACAGAUCAAGACUUCUAUUAUCAUGAGACUCUUAUCUUUGAAUACUUUUCCCCUUGCUUAUGCCUGUAUGAACAAUACAAGUGGAAAAGGGG
rnacentral:lncRNA from 1 species